rnacentral:rRNA from 1 species
UACGAAGGGUGCUAGCGUUGUUCGGAAUUACUGGGCGUAAAGCGCGCGCAGGCGGUUUUUCAAGUCAGAGGUGAAAGCCCGGAGCUUAACUCCGGAAUUGCCUUUGAAACUGUAAAACUGGAGUGUCGGAGGGGAUAGCGGAAUUCCUAAUGUAGCGGUGAAAUGCGUAGAUAUUAGGAGGAACACCGGUGGCGAAGGCGGCUAUCUGGACGACUACUGACGCUGAGGCGCGAAAGCGUGGGGAUCAAACAGG